rnacentral:lncRNA from 1 species
AGCUGAGCGAGAAAGAAGAGGGAUCCCUUCACUAGAACAGGGGCAAGUUUGUAAAGCACACGAUUCGCAAUUGCUAGUCUACAGUAACUGCAAAACACAUGACGCUGGCCAACUUUCUUAUACUCGCAUCGUAAUUAGACGGCCCCUGCUGCUGCGACGGCAGCAGAGAAGUCUGGUCAACGGUGGCAGCGGCGGAAAAGUCUGGUUGGCGGCGAAGAUUGGAUGAAAACGCCGG